UGAAGGCAGGUCCUACAUACACAGGAGAACUCUAUUAAAUAGUGUUGCCUGGAGAAGAGGGAUGCGCUGCUUUUGGCUGUCUAUGGAAGAAGGCCAUGCAUUUGAGUCACCUCCCUCUGUAGCCUAAAGCACCAUGUCACCAAACACCGACUUGGCCCCCUGGUGACCAGUAGCUCACACUGCAGGGGGAGCCUGUGAGUAAAUAGUAGCCCACAGGCAUCACCUUCAGUAUUUGUAAAAUUGCAUAACACUGGGCCUACCUCGAAAUUCUGAAUAUGUAGGUCCUAAGUAACAGGCCCAGGAAUCUGUAUUUGAAUGAAGCUCCUCUGAUAAUCCUUUUACCAUGCCAAAAGAACUGGGUCUGUUCUUUUCCAAACAUCCCACAGGACCAGAAUCAUGUGGGGAACUUUGUUAUACCUAGAGUUUCCAAGCCAGACCCCUGAAAAUUCUGACCAGAGGUCUGGAACAUGACCUUAGGAAUUUGUCCUUUGAACAGGUAUCUUGGGUUUGCAUUGAUUUAUAAAUGGAUCAGGAUGAAGCUUGAGAAAGGGGCUAUUGCAUAAUAAAUGAUGGUUGAAUGAAAGAAGGAAAGGGCGGUAGAGAGUCCAUGUGGUGGAUUAGGGGUUUUCUUGAGUGUAGUAAAAACGCCUUCCACAUAACAAGUUUACAUACCACAGCUCAGGAAUCCUCUGUUCAGUGAUAUGAGGUUGACAAAGCAGAAGUUGUUACCUGAUCCCCAAUUUGCAGAUGAAGAAAAUCAAGGUUGGGCUGGGGUUGUGGCUCAGUGGCAGAGCACUUGCCUCGCAAGUGAGAGAUACUGGGUUUGAUCCUCAGCAUCACAUGAAAAUAAAUAAAGAUUAAAAAAAAAGAAAUUCAAGUUUGAGAAUAUUACAUGAUUUGCCCAACCUCAUGUGUGUGACAGACUCUGAACAAAUCGCCCAGUGUUUCCUCCUCUUUAUCACCCUGCCACAAACUUAAAGUCUGUCCUGACUCAUGUAAGGAAUAGAGUCCUGAAAAAAUCUUCCAUUGUUCUGCUGAAGUCACUAUAAUCUCAUUAUCCUUCCUUUGGAUGCACUUUUACAAUGGGUUGGUCACUGAGCUCAGGAUGCAGAUCUGUACAAGAGUUGAACUCUAGGGCUUAAAUAACCAAUUUUGUAAGAUUUUGAGGAUAACUAAGUCUUGGUAGAGAGGGUAGCUUUAAUGAUGGUAGUGGUGACAAUGAUGAUGAUGAUGAUAUUGUGUUGCUGCUGCUGCUGAGCCUUGCAUGGAUUGAACCAAGACACACUUACUUUUGGUGUCCUAAAAGCUUUGCACAAUUAUCUCAGUCCUCAGGGCAUUUUUAUUCCCUUUUUUUCAAAUAAGGGAAAGCAAAACUUAGAGAGGUUAAGUAAUUUAGCCAAGGGCACACACAUAGCUUCUUUUUCUUUUUUUUUUUUUUUAAUUGAACCCAGGGGUGCUUAACCACGGAGCCACAUCCCCAGCCCUUUUUAUUUUUAUUUUUUAUUUUAUUUUGAGACAGGGUCUUGCUAAGUUAUUUAGGGUCUUCGCUCAGUUGCUGAGGCUGGCUUUGAACUUGCAACCCUCCCACCUCAGCCUCCCAAGCUGCUGGGAUUCCAGGCCUACACUCCUGUGCCAUACUGCACACAGCUUUUUAACCACUAUCCCAUACUGUCUCCAGCCAGCCAUCUUGGCUGCUCUUAAAUGAUCCAUAUCAAAUAUAUGGGUUGGUAAGGCUGAAGGAAGACGAAUGUUAUACAGGUAAAAGGAAUGUCU
rnacentral:lncRNA from 1 species